GAUGAACGCUGGCGGCGUGCCUAAUACAUGCAAGUCGAGCGAACAGACGAGGAGCUUGCUCCUCUGACGUUAGCGGCGGACGGGUGAGUAACACGUGGAUAACCUACCUAUAAGACUGGGAUAACUUCGGGAAACCGGAGCUAAUACCGGAUAAUAUAUUGAACCGCAUGGUUCAAUAGUGAAAGACGGUUUUGCUGUCACUUAUAGCUGGAUCCGCGCCGCAUUAGCUAGUUGGUAAGGUAACGGCUUACCAAGGCAACGAUGCGUAGCCGACCUGAGAGGGUGAUAGGCCACACGGGAACUGAGACACGGUCCAGACUCCUACGGGAGGCAGCAGUAGGGAAUCUUCCGCAAUGGGCGAAAGCCUGACGGAGCAACGCCGCGUGAAUGAUGAAGGUCUUCGGAUCGUAAAACUCUGUUAUUAGGGAAGAACAAAUGUGUAAGUAACUAUGCACGUCUUGACGGUACCUAAUCAGAAAGCCACGGCUAACUACGUG
rnacentral:rRNA from 1 species